GCUAUACAUGCAGUCGAGCGAAUGACGAGGAGCUUGCUCCUCUGAUUUAGCGGCGGACGGGUGAGUAACACGUGGGUAAUCUGCCUGUAAGACGGGGAUAACUCCGGGAAACCGGGGCUAAUACCGGAUAAUAAGAGAAGAAGCAUUUCUUCUUUUUGAAAGUCGGUUUCGGCUGACACUUACAGAUGAGCCCGCGGCGCAUUAGCUAGUUGGUGAGGUAACGGCUCACCAAGGCGACGAUGCGUAGCCGACCUGAGAGGGUGAUCGGCCACACUGGGACUGAGACACGGCCCAGACUCCUACGGGAGGCAGCAGUAGGGAAUCUUCGGCAAUGGGCGAAAGCCUGACCGAGCAACGCCGCGUGAGCGAUGAAGGCCUUCGGGUCGUAAAGCUCUGUUGUUAGAGAAGAACAAGUACGAGAGUAACUGCUCGUACCUUGACGGUACCUAACCAGAAAGCCACGGCUAACUACGUGCCAGCAGCCGCGGUAAUACGUAGGUGGCAAGCGUUAUCCGGAAUUAUUGGGCGUAAAGCGCGCGCAGGCGGUCUCUUAAGUCUGAUGUGAAAGCCCACGGCUCAACCGUGGAGGGUCAUUGGAAACUGGGAGACUUGAGUGCAGGAGAGAAAAGUGGAAUUCCACGUGUAGCGGUGAAAUGCGUAGAGAUGUGG
rnacentral:rRNA from 1 species